rnacentral:rRNA from 1 species
UGCAAGUCGAACGGUAAGGCCCUUCGGGGUACACGAGUGGCGAACGGGUGAGUAACACGUGGGUGAUCUGCCCUGCACUUCGGGAUAAGCCCGGGAAACUGGGUCUAAUACCGGAUAGUACUGCGCGGUGCAUGCCGUGUGGUGGAAAGAUUUAUCGGUGCAGGAUGGGCCCGCGGCCUAUCAGCUUGUUGGUGGGGUAAUGGCCUACCAAGGCGACGACGGGUAGCCGGCCUGAGAGGGCGACCGGCCACACUGGGACUGAGACACGGCCCAGACUCCUACGGGAGGCAGCAGUGGGGAAUAUUGCACAAUGGGCGCAAGCCUGAUGCAGCGACGCCGCGUGAGGGAUGACGGCCUUCGGGUUGUAAACCUCUUUCAGCAGGGACGAAGCGCAAGUGACGGUACCUGCAGAAGAAGCACCGGCCAACUACGUGCCAGCAGCCGCGGUAAUACGUAGGGUGCAAGCGUUGUCCGGAAUUACUGGGCGUAAAGAGCUCGUAGGCGGUUUGUCGCGUCGUCUGUGAAAACCAGCAGCUCAACUGUUGGCUUGCAGGCGAUACGGGCAGACUUGAGUAUUUCAGGGGAGACUGGAAUUCCUGGU